AUUGAACGCUGGCGGAAUGCCUUACACAUGCAAGUCGAGCGGCAGCGCGGGGCAACCUGGCGGCGAGCGGCGAACGGGUGAGUAAUACAUCGGAACGUGCCCAGACGUGGGGGAUAGCCCGGCGAAAGCCGGAUUAAUACCGCAUGAGAUCUAAGGAUGAAAGCAGGGGACCUUCGGGCCUUGCGCGUUUGGAGCGGCCGAUGGCAGAUCAGGUAGUUGGUGAGGUAAAGGCUUACCAAGCCUGCGAUCUGUAGCUGGUCUGAGAGGAUGAUCAGCCACACUGGGACUGAGACACGGCCCAGACUCCUACGGGAGGCAGCAGUGGGGAAUUUUGGACAAUGGGCGCAAGCCUGAUCCAGCCAUUCCGCGUGCAGGAUGAAGGCCCUCGGGUUGUAAACUGCUUUUGUACAGAACGAAAAGGG
rnacentral:rRNA from 1 species